rnacentral:rRNA from 1 species
GGGUAGCCGGCCUGAGAGGGCGACCGGCCACACUGGGACUGAGACACGGCCCAGACUCCUACGGGAGGCAGCAGUGGGGAAUAUUGCACAAUGGGCGAAAGCCUGAUGCAGCGACGCCGCGUGAGGGAUGACGGCCUUCGGGUUGUAAACCUCUUUCAGCAGGGAAGAAGCGAGAGUGACGGUACCUGCAGAAGAAGCACCGGCUAACUACGUGCCAGCAGCCGCGGUAAUACGUAGGGUGCGAGCGUUGUCCGGAAUUAUUGGGCGUAAAGAGCUCGUAGGCGGCCUGUUGCGUCGGUUGUGAAAGCCCGGGGCUCAACCCCGGGUCUGCAGUCGAUACGGGCAGGCUAGAGUUCGGUAGGGGAGAUCGGAAUUCCUGGUGUAGCGGUGAAAUGCGCAGAUAUCAGGAGGAACACCGGUGGCGAAGGCGGAUCUCUGGGCCGAUACUGACGCUGAGGAGCGAAAGCGUGGGGAGCGAACAGGAUUAGAUACCCUGGUAGUCCACGCCGUAAACGGUGGGAACUAGGUGUGGGCGACAUUCCACGUCGUCCGUGCCGCAGCUAACGCAUUAAGUUCCCCGCCUGGGGGA